rnacentral:rRNA from 1 species
GACGAACGCUGGCGGCGUGCCUAAUACAUGCAAGUCGAACGAGAGCGCCCGGUGCUUGCACUGGUCAAUCUAGUGGCGAACGGGUGAGUAACACGUGAGUAACCUGCCCAUCAGAGGGGGAUAACAUCCGGAAACGGAUGCUAAAACCGCAUAGGUCUUCGAACCGCAUGGUUUGAAGAGGAAAAGAGGCGCAAGCUUCUGCUGAUGGAUGGACCCGCGGUGCAUUAGCUAGUUGGUGAGGUAACGGCUCACCAAGGCCGUGAUGCAUAGCCGACCUGAGAGGGUGAUCGGCCACAUUGGGACUGAGACACGGCCCAAACUCCUACGGGAGGCAGCAGUAGGGAAUCUUCCGCAAUGGACGCAAGUCUGACGGAGCAACGCCGCGUGAGUGAAGAAGGUUUUCGGAUCGUAAAACUCUGUUGUUAGAGAAGAACAAGUGCUAGAGUAACUGUUAGCGCCUUGACGGUAUCUAACCAGAAAGCCACGGCUAACUACGUG